UGUGUUUUCUCUUCUGCUGCAUUUCUGCUUUUUAUUUUUCAUUUUUUCUGGGGCUCUUUUGGACUCUACCUUCGUCCCUUUUUAUUUUUAGAGCUUUAAAAUCUUUGUUGGACUGAUUAUGUAUUAUCUUGUUGGAGUCUGAAACUGUGAAUCUCAGUUUCUUGGUGUUUGGGUUCUUUUGAGAGA